rnacentral:rRNA from 1 species
GACGAACGCUGGCGGCGUGCCUAAUACAUGCAAGUCGAACGAACUCUGGUAUUGAUUGGUGCUUGCAUCAUGAUUUACAUUUGAGUGAGUGGCGAACUGGUGAGUAACACGUGGGAACCCUGCCCAGAAGCGGGGGAUAACACCUGGAAACAGAUGCUAAUACCGCAUAACAACUUGGACCGCAUGGUCCGAGCUUGAAAGAUGGCUUCGGCUAUCAUUUUGGGAUGGUCCCGCGGGGUAUUAGCUAGAUGGUGGGGUAACGGCUAACCAUGGCAAUGAUACGUAGCCGACCUGAGAGGGUAAUCGGCCACAUUGGGACUGAGACACGGCCCAAACUCCUACGGGAGGCAGCAGUAGGGAAUCUUCCACAAUGGACGAAAGUCUGAUGGAGCAACGCCGCGUGAGUGAAGAAGGGUUUCGGCUCGUAAAACUCUGUUGUUAAAGAAGAACAUAUCUGAGAGUAACUGUUCAGGUAUUGACGGUAUUUAACCAGAAAGCCACGGCUAACUACGUGCCAGCAGCCGCGGUAA